rnacentral:rRNA from 1 species
UACGUAGGGGGCGAGCGUUGUCCGGAGUUACUGGGCGUAAAGCGCACGCAGGCGGUCUGUGAAGUUUGGAGUGACAGUUGGUGGCUCAACCACCAAAGUGCUUUGAAAACUGAUAGACUUGAGGGGCUUCAGAGGGACACGGAAUUCCGGGUGGAGUGGUGAAAUGCGUAGAGAUCCGGAGGAACACCAAAGGCGAAGGCGAGUGUCCUGGGGAGUA